AUUGAACGCUGGCGGCAUGCCUUACACAUGCAAGUCGAACGGCAGCGGGGGAGAAGCUUGCUUUUCCUGCCGGCGAGUGGCGAACGGGUGAGUAAUACAUCGGAACGUGCCCUGUAGUGGGGGAUAACUAGUCGAAAGAUUAGCUAAUACCGCAUACGACCUGAGGGGGAAAGUGGGGGACCGUAUGGCCUCAUGCUAUAGGAGCGGCCGAUGUCUGAUUAGCUAGUUGGUGGGGUAAAGGCCUACCAAGGCGACGACCAGUAGCUGGUCUGAGAGGACGAUCAGCCACACUGGGACUGAGACACGGCCCAGACUCCUACGGGAGGCAGCAGUGGGGAAUUUUGGACAAUGGGCGAAAGCCUGAUCCAGCAAUGCCGCGUGUGUGAAGAAGGCCUUCGGGUUGUAAAGCACUUUUGUCCGGAAAGAAAUGGCUCUGGUUAAUACCUGGGGUCGAUGACGGUACCGGAAGAAUAAGGACCGGCUAACUACGUGCCAGCAGCCGCCGUAA
rnacentral:rRNA from 1 species